ensembl:lncRNA
ACCUACAAGGCUCAUGUCGCUGCUGAUGAUUAUUUUACAACACAACCUUGAUUACAGCUUCUCCGUUUGCAGCUCAUACACAUGUUAAAUAUCUUGCCCAAGACCAGUUCAGCAGUCCUCCUGCAACCUGCAGCCUUAAGGUGAAAAGAAUACACAAAGGAAGGAAGGGAGGGCAGCAGGCAAUGCAAUGGCAAGAGUUGCUGCCUUACAACUGAAGAACCCAGCUUCAAAUCCCUCCACCUGAUGUAAUACCCACGAGAAAGGUACUUACCCUCAGCUGCUUCCGUUAAAAAAAUACCCAGCCGUGAUAACAGGUUAAAAAUUCAAAGUUGCUUAGUGCAGUAUGGUUAAGAUUUUAAAUUGCUUUAAAGGAACCGUGAGCUAGAUCAAUAAAAAUAAUAUGAAGAAUCUUGAUUUAUACCA